AAAUAGGGCCGGGGAUCCCCCUUCCGUAAGGGGACCUGCGGAAGGAUCAUUG
rnacentral:rRNA from 1 species